GCGCCCUCUGAGCUGCUCAGCUGCCCGUCUCACUCACGCAGGCGCAAACCCAGGUGGUCUACGUUGGCAGAGUUUCCUCGGCCGUCCGCACCGCAACUCCUGGAGCCCCGAGGCUGCCAGGCCCUUCACGUGCGAUCUCAGGCGUUGGUGAUGAUGGGCAGGGCCACCCUGCAGCGCACGUCUGACCCUGGCCGUGGUGAGGCCACGCCCGACGCCAACUACACAGUGUUCGACUUUGAUGCCUUCUGCCAGGCGCGCUACAGAAGCAGCCAGAGCAAGGAUGGUGCCGGAGAGCCCAGGCCUACCUCUGCUGGGGGGUAAAGGAACUGUUCUCCCCCUCGUCUUCCCACCCGCCCAUCUUAGCCAUGGACCUGCACAUCCCUCUCCUGCAGUCCAGAAGGGGAGGCUUUUCGCUGCCCAAGAAAGAGGCCCCAGGAUGAAAAGUCCAGAAAGCCAGAGAAUGAAAGGUUUUUCUGGAGUCCUUUGGGUGCCCGCUUCCAGAGGUUGCCUUCCUGGUUUUAUCGACUUAUGGAACACUUGGCUCUGGCUUUAAAGCUCUGAGCGAGAAUUGUCUGCUACGGCCCCACAUUUGUACUGAGGGGAUCCUCUGUAACCUUGAAACAUGCAAUGUGACCAAUUGUUGGCUGCCAAAGGAAAAAUUCUGGGUUUAUACGAGCCUCGUCUUUCUGUGACACCUAAGCCACAGAUGACAUGUGAUGUAGCAUAAGAAUGUGAUAUGUGGAAGCCUUGCCAUUCUGUCACCAGCCAUGGACUCUAACCUGCUUCUCUUGUCUUGCUUAAACUGUAACCUUUUGUGUUCAACAUAAUUCUUUUGUCUUCCUGAAGGGUGCAGAUGUUUCUUUCUCUAACGACUUUUGGAGUCUUGAGCUUAUGUGGUUUCAGCUAUGUUCCAGGAAGAAGCUCUAAGCAACAACUGACCUGGAUCCAACCACUCUGAACAGGACCACACUGUCCCAGACCACAGCCACAAGACUGACACCUGCACAGACAGGCAGAGUUGUACUAAAAUAACCUGCCCUCCUUAAUGUUUGGAAUUCUCCUCCUCUGGGAGGGGCAAAGCAGCCACUUUUAGAUCCUGUGAUGUGUGUAAAAGCAUGAUUUCAAACCACGUGUCCAAGCUUAUGCCCACUUCUACAUGUGAUGAUGAAACUUCCCCUUUGAAUAGUCAUUCCCUCUCCCAAAUAAAGGUACCCACGUCCCAGUGCUGGGGGAGCCA
rnacentral:lncRNA from 1 species